rnacentral:rRNA from 1 species
UACGUAGGUGGCGAGCGUUGUCCGGAUUUACUGGGCGUAAAGGGAGCGUAGGCGGACUUUUAAGUGAGAUGUGAAAUACUCGGGCUCAACUUGAGUGCUGCAUUUCAAACUGGAAGUCUAGAGUGCAGGAGAGGAGAAUGGAAUUCCUAGUGUAGCGGUGAAAUGCCUAGAGAUUAGGAAGAACACCAGUGGCGAAGGCGAUUCUCUGGACUGUAACUGACGCUGAGGCUCGAAAGCGUGGGGAGCAAACAGG